UUGAACGCUGGCGGCAUGCUUUACACAUGCAAGUAGAACGCGAAAGGGGGCAACCCUGAGUAGAGUGGCGAACGGGUGAGUAACACAUCGGAACGCGUCCAGUAAUGGGGGAUAACCUGGCGAAAGCCAGGCUAAUACCGCAUACGUCCUGAGGGAGAAAGCGGGGGACCUGCAAGGGCCUCGCGUUAUUGGAGUGGCCGAUGUCGGAUUAGCUAGUUGGUGGGGUAAAGGCCUACCAAGGCGACGAUCCGUAGCUGGUCUGAGAGGACGACCAGCCACACUGGGACUGAGACACGGCCCAGACUCCUACGGGAGGCAGCAGUGGGGAAUUUUGGACAAUGGGCGCAAGCCUGAUCCAGCCAUUCCGCGUGAGUGAAGAAGGCCUUCGGGUUGUAAAGCUCUUUCGGCCGGGACGAAAUCGCACGGGUCAAUACCCUGUGUGGAUGACGGUACUGGAAGAAGAAGCACCGGCUAACUACGU
rnacentral:rRNA from 1 species